UACGGGGGGAGCAAGCGUUGUUCGGAUUUACUGGGCGUAAAGGGCGCGUAGGCGGUCAGCACAAGUCAGUUGUGAAAUCUCCGGGCUUAACUCGGAAAGGUCAACUGAUACUGUGCGACUAGAGUGCAGAAGGGGCAACUGGAAUUCUCGGUGUAGCGGUGAAAUGCGUAGAUAUCUGGAGGAACACCGGUGGCGAAGGCGGCAUCCUGGACCAACACUGACGCUGAGGGAGCGAAAGCCAGGGGAGCAAACGGG
rnacentral:rRNA from 1 species